rnacentral:rRNA from 1 species
AGAAUCAACGCUGGCGGCGUGCCUAACACAUGCAAGUCGCACGAGAAAGGGGAGCAAUCCCUGAGUAAAGUGGCGCACGGGUGAGUAACACGUGAAUGAUCUACCUCCGAGUGGGGGAAUAACUGAGAGAAAUCUUAGCUAAUACCGCAUAACACUUACGAGUCAAAGCAGCAAUGCGCUUGGAGAGGAGUUCGCGGCAGAUUAGUAGUUGCGGGGUAAUGGCCACCAAGACGAUGAUCUGUA